rnacentral:tRNA from 1 species
UAGAUGAAUGCUCGCCGGUUUGGGCGCUUAGCUGUUAACUAAGUCUUUGUAGGAUCGAGGCCUUCUCAUCUAG